UCUACUUUUUCUACUAUCCUGGGC
rnacentral:siRNA from 1 species